rnacentral:rRNA from 1 species
GACGAACGCUGGCGGCGUGCUUAACACAUGCAAGUCGAACGGAAAGGCUCUGCUCUUGUUGGGUGCUCGAUUGGCGAACGGGUGAGUAACACGUGAGUAUCCUGCCCUUUACUUUGGGAUAACUUCAGGAAACUUGGUCUAAUACCGGAUAGGAGCUCCUGCACCACGGUGGGUUGAGGAUAGUUUCGGCGGUUGGGUGUGGACUCGCGGCUUUUCAGCUUGUUGUUGGGUUACUGGCUUACCAAGGCUUUGGCGGGUAGCCGGCCUGAGAGGGCGACCGGCCAUAUCGGGAUUAAGCUCCGGCCAGACCUCCUACGGGACGCCAGAGUGAAGAACAUUGCACAAUGGGCGCAAGACUGUUCAAGCGACGCCGCGUGCGGGAUGACGGCCUUCGGGUUAUAAACCGCCUUCGCAAGUAAAGAAGCGUGAGUCACGGUAAUGGAUCAAGAAGCACCGGCUAACUACGUG